CUGAGGAGUUCAUGGACACCAGUCUUGGGGCUGCAAGACACAAACAGCCGCCAAAUGCACCAGACACAUCUGGAAGCAGAGGGGAAGUACAGCAAACCACAUAGCCCCAACCAUUACCAGCCUGUGGCCAAUGUGAUGUCAACCGGCCUCUCUGCCACCCUUCCCCAGCAAGGACUAUUGUAGAAAAAAUUCCAGAUAUCAGAUCACGUUCCCCACAAAUAUUUCAGCGUGUUUCUUUCAAUGGGGAUGCCUUUAAAAUGUAUAAUUAUGAUUCCCUUAUUACAGAAAAAAGUCCACUAAAUAAAAAUCCAUGAAGCAUA